rnacentral:tRNA from 4 species
GGCGGGUGCGUCAGAUAGCUCGUCGGGCUCAUAACCCGAAGGUCGCAGGUUCAAAUCCUGCCCCCGCCACCA